rnacentral:lncRNA from 1 species
AAGAGAAGGGCUUGCUUUCUGCUGUUCUCCAAGGCACUUAUCAUGAUUAGCUUACUGUAAUAUGCAGCUUCCUCCCGAUUUUGUUAUUGGUAAAUGCAUGGCCGUUGUUGGGAUUGUUCGAACCGUUGGAAGGUCUAGGGCGUUGUUUCGUCGUCGAUGACACCGCCUGCACCUCCUGCCUCCCAGGAAUCCACGGCUUCCUCCCGAUUUUGUUGUUGACGAAUGCAUGGUCCACCCCAAGGCUGUGGGACGGCAUGAUUUGAGAGGCUAGAAGUAGGACGGCAACCAUUAGAGCAACUUUGCUCAUGUUGUUAGAUGACUUGU